rnacentral:rRNA from 1 species
CCUACGGGAGGCAGCAGUGGGGGAUAUUGCACAAUGGGGGGAACCCUGAUGCAGCUACGCCGCGUGGGUGAAGAAGCGCCUCGGCGCGUAAAGCCCUGUCAGCAGGGAAGAAAAUGACGGUACCUGAAGAAGAAGCCCCGGCUAACUACGUGCCAGCAGCCGCGGGAAUACGUAGGGGGCAAGCGUUAUCCGGAUUUACUGGGUGUAAAGGGGGCGGAGACGGCGUGGCAAGCCAGGAGUGAAAGCCCGGGGCCCAACCCCGGGACUGCUCUUGGAACUGCGUGGCUGGAGGGCAGGAGGGGCAGGCGGAAUUCCUGGUGUAGCGGUGAAAUGCGUAGAGAUCAGGAGGAACACCGGUGGCGAAGGCGGCCUGCUGGACGGCAACUGACGUUGAGGCCCGAAAGCGUGGGGAGCAAACAGGAUUAGAUACCCGGGUAGUC